rnacentral:misc_RNA from 1 species
GCUUCUAGAUCAUGUUGUACUACUAUCUUUCAAGUUAGCUUUACUUGUUUAAUUGGAGCUUAUGUAUAUCUACGCUUCACAUGAUUAAAUUAUCUCUAUCUUCCUUCUCUCAAUUUAUUCCCAAUUAGCAUAAUUCUUACAUUUUCUCUAAUAUGGAUUUUAUCUUUUCUCAAUUUAUUCUCAAAUGAACUCUCACCACUUUGUUCGA